rnacentral:lncRNA from 1 species
UUUGACAAAGCUUGAAAAUUUUUCAAGAAAGUCCCUUGCAUGUAAGUGUUAUCUUGUCCCGUUUUUGUUAAUUUUUAUGUUUUUAGAAUCGUUGUAGCUUAACCUAGCUAACUAGAUGACUAAUUUGUAAAACUAUUAAAUAGUUUGAGAUUUUCCAUUUAUGAAUAUGAUAAGGUUUUGAAGUUUAAUAGAAGAAAAUGAAUCUUUGUUGUUAAAUAAACAACUUUUGUUAAGUGAGUUUUGUUGAAAUUGUCAAUUAGGGGUUAAUUUAUGAAAUAUGAAAAUUGUGUAGUAAAUGUGUGAAAUUGUGAAAUAUUUGGGUGCUAUAUGCAUGUAUAGAAAUCGGCUAGGCUUGGGUAUGGAUGAAAUUGCAUGUAUUUCAUUUUACGAGCCUAGGGACUAAAUUGUAAAAAGGUUAAAAGUAUAGGGGAAAAAUGGUAAUUUUUCCAAAACAUGAAUUUUGGAUUGAAUUAAAUAGAGUGAGGUUUAAAUUGGUUAAACUUGAUUAUAUAGAUCAAGAAAAGCAACAUCCGAAAUUAAAUCGGGAAAAAGACAAAGUAGUGGACUAAUCGAUGUUUUAUCUUCGUACAAGUUUGUGGUAAGUUCGUGUAAUUAAAUUGUGUAUUUAUAUGCUUUAAUAGAAAUAUAUGUAUGCGAAUGGUUUAAUUAUUAUGUAUAAUUAUCGAGCGCAUAACCGAUGACAUACAAAGAAUAUUGAGCCCCGUUUGAACCUUAGAAAUUCGUAGGAUACAAAUGACAUGUCAUUAGGGUUACCGAUUUGGUUGUGGUACUGCAUGUGGUGUGGACACACCAUAGCUCGUAUGAGCUUACCGAUAUUCAGCUCGGAGGAGCUUACCGUUUAUCGCUCGUAUGAGCAUACAUGUAUAAGAAUUGACAGAUUUACAGUUUAGUACAUCUCGCGUGUACUACCCACGUUUCUAACGAUAUUCUAAGUGAUUCAACGGGCAUAGUGUUAUUACGAGAUUACACAAGUUCAAUACGAACUAGUACAAGUAUUUACAUGAAAAUGAUUUAUAUAUGAUAUACAGAUACAUGGUAUAGAUGGUACAUGUACAUGAAAUUUAAUAAUUGUUGAAUUCAUACAUGAUUCUCGGUUUUAUAUGAAUACAUGGCUAACUUGGUUAAUGGUUAUGUGAUAGGCUUUGGCCAAAUUGAAUUAUGUUAUGCUUUGAGUUACUUACCUAAAUUUAUGGUUAAAUGGUAAGCUUAAUUCUGUAUUAUACGAACUUACUAAGCUUAAUUGCUUACUCUGUUUAUUUUCCCGUAUUUAAUAGUGAUUCGGAAGCUCGUUCGGAUUGGAAGUUGUCGGAGACCGCAUAACACUAUCAAACGUUAUUUUGGUACUUUUGACUUUAUAUUUUGGGUUAAAUGGCAUGUAUAGGUCAUUUUGGCUAAUGGUAGCCCAUAUGUUUUGUUGUGUUUCAGCCAUUUAAUUUGGCUUGAAUUUGGUAUAAUUUGGUUAUGUAAAUAUGUAAAUAGCCUUAUAGUAUGUGAUGUAUGGUUGCCAUGUGAAUGCCUUGGUUGGGAAUUG